rnacentral:rRNA from 1 species
UGGGGAAUAUUGCACAAUGGGCGCAAGCCUGAUGCAGCCAUGCCGCGUGUAUGAAGAAGGCCUUCGGGUUGUAAAGUACUUUCAGCGGGGAGGAAGGGAGUAAAGUUAAUACCUUUGCUCAUUGACGUUACCCGCAGAAGAAGCACCGGCUAACUCCGUGCCAGCAGCCGCGGUAAUACGGAGGGUGCAAGCGUUAAUCGGAAUUACUGGGCGUAAAGCGCACGCAGGCGGUUUGUUAAGUCAGAUGUGAAAUCCCCGGGCUCAACCUGGGAACUGCAUCUGAUACUGGCAAGCUUGAGUCUCGUAGAGGGGGGUAUAAUUCCAGGUGUAGCGGUGAAAUGCGUAGAGAUCUGGAGGAAUACCGGUGGCGAAGGCGGCCCCCUGGACGAAGACUGACGCUCAGGUGCGAAAGCGUGGGGAGCAAACAGG